UACUGACCAAGAGGGGGUUUCCUCCAGAAGCGACUUGGAGACCCGGUUCCUUCCACAACGUGCCUCUAUACUCUGCCACCGUCAGCUCGUAGCUUCUAUGGCUGCCAUACGCAUGUGCAUCAAGGUUUAUGGUCAAUGUAAAGCAAUAAUUUACGUUAAUAAGCCAAGAAGAAUCCUCUAUUCACCUGCUUACAAUUGUACUCUUCGCCCAGUUUCUCGAAGAAAGAUUCACAGUAUGUGCCCGACUGCCCCAGCCCCAGCCCCACUGACUUCUCAGAUCCCAAAGUUCUGGAAGCUGCCACUGAGUCUCUUGCAAAAUACAACAAGGAGAGCACCUUG